AUCCUUUUGUAGUUCAUGAGCAUGAUGAUUGGGCGCUCACACACAUGCAUGAGAUGUGACACCCUCAAACCUUAUUACGAUGUUGGCACAUUACCCAAGUGAUG